CCCCAGACCACCCAGGAAUACAGCUUUCCUGUACCUUUGGAGGAGAGGUUUGACAAUAAGGAUUCAGGUUUAAUGGCCAAAAGGCCAUAUGGUGUCUGCCGUCGACAUGUCUGCGACACGUGAAUGAAGGAGCAUGGCUGUGUCCCGAAAAAACUUUAUUUAUGGACCUGAUAUGGGAAUUUCAUAUAAUUUGUAUGCAUCAUGAAGUUGUCUUCCUUUGAAUUAUUCCAACCAUUUAAAAAGGACCACGCAAGGAGGAACAGGGGUUUUUCUGGCUGUGAAGAAAAAGCUUUGUUAACGGGCCCAGGAUGAUCUACCUCCAUCAAGACAUAAUGAACUGAGGCUUGAAUACUUCUUUGCACAAAACAGCAUCGGCCACGUGGCCUAGGCACCUGGCCAUACAUCUCACUUCUUUUGGCAUAAGCUUUCCACUUUUUGGC